CAAAAAGCUCCUCAUCCCAUCAAGAUGAAAUCCUAAUUGGUAUGGAUGUGCUUCUAUAUGCAUGGACUGGUCCUGAAACUCAUGUUGCUAAGGCAGCAAUUAUCUCAGUUGUCCAGACACAAUUGCAGGCUCGGAUCCCCUUGGACCAGCACUUAUGAGGUUGUUGUCAAUGUUGUGAUCAGAAGGGAUGCUACGCUGCCUUAUGAAUAUGAUGGUUUACGAUUUGUCACUGAUGCAGUCACAAGGUCCAUUGCAUGGCCAUCUAGCAAGCCCUACAAGCCAGGGGAAUCUUCCUCAUCUCGCUGCUAAGGUAUUUAUGUGAUUCACUAUUUAUGUGAUCCCGCUGUUAUCAUGACCACUUGGUACUGUACAAGAGUUUAUUCUUGGUGCUUCCUAGCUCAAAGUGCAUAAAGAGUGCAUCAUGUAUUCUGGUCAGCAUUGAUUUAUCAUGGAAUCCUAGCUCAAAGUGCAUGAAGAUUCCAUAAUGACCAGAUUACAUAUGUUAAUCUGGACAUAAGUUUAUCAUUGUUUUACACUUUUAGUUCUUGGUCAGCAUUGAUUUGUUCUCUCCAUCAAAAGAACUAAUUGCUCAAUUAAAAUAAAAGUGAAAUAGAGUUGUUGUCAAUUUUUU